AUUGAACGCUGGCGGCAUGCCUUACACAUGCAAGUCGAACGGCAGCACGGGUGCUUGCACCUGGUGGCGAGUGGCGAACGGGUGAGUAAUACAUCGGAACAUGUCCUGUAGUGGGGGAUAGCCCGGCGAAAGCCGGAUUAAUACCGCAUACGAUCUACGGAUGAAAGCGGGGGACCUUCGGGCCUCGCGCUAUAGGGUUGGCCGAUGGCUGAUUAGCUAGUUGGUGGGGUAAAGGCCUACCAAGGCGACGAUCAGUAGAUGGUCUGAGAGGACGACCAGCCACAGUGGGACUGAGACGCGGCGCAGAAUCCUAAGGGAGGCAGGAGUGGGGAAUCUUGGACAAUGGGCGAAAGCCUGAUCCAGGAAUGCCGCGAGUGUGAAGAAGGCCUACGGGUUGUAAAGCACUUUUGUCCGGAAAGAAAACCUUGGCUCUAACACAGUCGGGGGAUGACGGUACCGGAAGAAUAAGCACCGGCUAACUACGU
rnacentral:rRNA from 1 species